rnacentral:rRNA from 1 species
GUGGAACAAGUUUCCGUAGGUGAACCUGCGGAAGGAUCAUUACCGAGUGCGGGCUGCCUCCGGGCGCCCAACCUCCCACCCGUGACUACCUAACACUGUUGCUUCGGCGGGGAGCCCUCUCGGGGGCGAGCCGCCGGGGACUACUGAACUUCAUGCCUGAGAGUGAUGCAGUCUGAGUCUGAAUAUAAAAUCAGUCAAAACUUUCAACAAUGGAUCUCUUGGUUCCGGCACCGAUGAAGAACGCAGCGAACUGCGAUAAGUAAUGUGAAUUGCAGAAUUCAGUGAAUCAUCGAGUCGGUGAACGCACAUUGCGCCCUGGCAUUCCGGGGGGCAUGCCUGUCCGAGCGUCAUUGCUGCCCAUCAAGCCCGGCUUGUGUGUUGGGUCGUCGUCCCCCCCGGGGGACGGGCCCGAAAGGCAGCGGCGGCACCGUGUCCGGUCUUCGAGCGUAUGGGGCUUUGUCACCCGCUCGAUUAGGGCCGGCCGGGCGCCAGCCGACGUCUCCAACCAUUUCUUCAGGUUGACCUCGGAUCAGG